rnacentral:rRNA from 1 species
CAUUACAAGUGACCCCGGUCUUACCACCGGGAUGUUCAUAACCCUUUGUUGUCCGACUCUGUUGCCUCCGGGGCGACCCUGCCUUCGGGCGGGGGCUCCGGGUGGACACUUCAAACUCUUGCGUAACUUUGCAGUCUGAGUAAACUUAAUUAAUAAAUUAAAACUUUUAACAACGGAUCUCCUGGUUCUGGCAUCGAUGAAGAACGCAGCGAAAUGCGAUAAGUAAUGUGAAUUGCAGAAUUCAGUGAAUCAUCGAAUCUUUGAACGCACAUUGCGCCCCCUGGUAUUCCGGGGGGCAUGCCUGUUCGAGCGUCAUUUCACCACUCAAGCCUCGCUUGGUAUUGGGCAACGCGGUCCGCCGCGUGCCUCAAAUCGACCGGCUGGGUCUUCUGUCCCCUAAGCGUUGUGGAAACUAUUCGCUAAAGGGUGUUCGGGAGGCUACGCCGUAAAACAACCCCAUUUCUAAGGUUGACCUCGGAUCAGGUAGGGAUACCC